AGCCUUCUGUAUCCGUGCUGAGAUUUUGUCAUACACCAGACCACAAGGGCUGAUAAGACUCUGAAGAUAAAUGAAGCG
rfam:Schistosoma haematobium scaffold17_16, whole genome shotgun sequence.